GUUUGAUCCUGGCUCAGGAUGAACGCUAGCGGCAGGCCUAACACAUGCAAGUCGAGGGGUAGAGGAAGCUUGCUUCCUUGAGACCGGCGCACGGGUGCGUAACGCGUAUGCAAUCUGCCUUGUACAGAGGGAUAGCCCAGAGAAAUUUGGAUUAAUACCUCAUAGUAUUAUUGAAUGGCAUCAUUUAAUAAUUAAAGUUCCAACGGUACAAGAUGAGCAUGCGUCCUAUUAGCUAGUUGGUGUGGUAACGGCAUACCAAGGCUACGAUAGGUAGGGGUCCUGAGAGGGAGAUCCCCCACACUGGUACUGAGACACGGACCAGACUCCUACGGGAGGCAGCAGUGAGGAAUAUUGGACAAUGGGCGCAAGCCUGAUCCAGCCAUGCCGCGUGCAGGAAGACGCAUCUAUGGUGUGUAAACUGCUUUUGUACGGGAAGAAACACUCCCUCGUGAGGGAGCUUGACGGUACCGUAAGAAUAAGGAUCGGCUAACUCCGUGCCAGCAGCCGCGGUAAUACGGAGGAUCCAAGCGUUAUCCGGAAUCAUUGGGUUUAAAGGGUCCGUAGGCGGUUUAAUAAGUCAGUGGUGAAAGCCCAUCGCUCAACGAUGGAACGGCCAUUGAUACUGUUAGACUUGAAUUACAAGGAAGUAACUAGAAUAUGUAGUGUAGCGGUGAAAUGCUUAGAUAUUACAUGGAAUACCAAUUGCGAAGGCAGGUUACUACUUGUGGAUUGACGCUGAUGGACGAAAGCGUGGGGAGCGAACAGGAUUAGAUACCCUGGUAGUCCACGCCGUAAACGAUGGAUACUAGCUGUUGGGAGCAAUUUCAGUGGCUAAGCGAAAGUGAUAAGUAUCCCA
rnacentral:rRNA from 1 species